UGGGGAAUAUUGGACAAUGGGCGCAAGCCUGAUCCAGCCAUGCCGCGUGAGUGACGAAGGCCUUAGGGUUGUAAAGCUCUUUUGGCGGGGACGAUAAUGACGGUACCCGCAGAAUAAGCCCCGGCUAACUUCGUGCCAGCAGCCGCGGUAAUACAGAGGGUGCGAGCGUUAAUCGGAGUGACUGGGCGUAAAGGGCAUGUAGGCGGUUAUAUUAGUCUGAUGUAAAAGACCCGGGCUUAACCUGGGAUAUGCAUUGGAAACGGUAUAGCUAGAGUAUGGGAGAGGGAAGUGGAAUUUCCGGUGUAGCGGUGAAAUGCGUAGAGAUCGGAAAGAACACUCGUGGCGAAGGCGGCUCACUGGACGUGUAUUGACGCUGAGGUACGAAAGCGUGGGGAGCAAACAGGAUUAGAUACCCUCGUAGUCCCUGAGCGGGCUGGCAAGGCGCAU
rnacentral:rRNA from 1 species